UCCCUGGUGGUUCAGUGGUAAAAAAUCUGCCUACCAAGGCAGGAGGCUCGGGUUUGAUCCCUGAUCAGGGAA
rnacentral:tRNA from 1 species